ACAACAUCUUUAAAAAUUCACUAAAUAUCCCUAAAAUAACGUCUUCUACAGUCGUUUGUAUGUUUGGUCAGUUCAAGAUGUAAUUAUUAAAUAUUUUAAUUUCGGUUAAUAUUAGAAAUGAUACAUAACGGUGUGGAAAUGUCCAUGGAUAAGAUAUGUAGGUCAUGUAUGACCGAAACUCCUGAGGCCAAGAAUGUUUUUGAAAACUGCAUGAUUGAUCAAACUUUUCUAAUUGCGGACGUUUUAAUGGCCUGUGCCUCCGUUGUUGUUAAUGUUGAAGAUGGUUUACCUAAAAGAAUAUGUUCAAUCUGUGAAGACAAACUUUCUGUUGCUUACCUUUUUAAGCAACAAUGUGAAAAAGCUGACAAUACAUUACGUGAACUGACCAAUCAGCAACGAAGAGAAGAUAUUGAGGUCAAACCGGAUGUUGAUAUUGAUGAUUUUUAUAAUGAUGCAGAUAAUGUAUCCACAGACUCGGAAAUCCAAUACACACCCAAGACCAAAUCAUCAAAAGUUCAUUUAAAAUGUGAUUUUUGCAACAAAAAUUUUCGUUCUAAAAAUGGCUACCAACUCCACAUGAAAAGACACACAAAAGAACCUUUAUUAACUUGCCACAUAUGUAAUAAAAAAUUCACUAAAGCCUUGUUAUUUAAACAUUUACAAACAGAUCAUGAAGUUAAUGUUGAAGGAGAUAAUUUUCCAUGUACUCAUUGUGAAUUAAGAUUUCACACUUUAUCGUCACUGGAUACCCAUAUGAAAGAACAUAGGAAACAAAAUGAUGGUUGUAUAAAACAGGAAUGUGAUGAUGAUGAUGAAGAUGAAACAGAAAUUAAGAAUGAAUGUGAUCUUGAUGAUGUAAAACCUGAUGAAGAUGGUAAAUAUUCUUGUAAACAUUGUGCAAAAGUUUUAGCUAAUUUGGAAGAUUUAAAAGUGCAUUUACGGAGACAUACAGGAAUUAGUUUAUUUUCUUGUAAGAUAUGCAAUAAAGCUUACGAAAAAAGUAAUCAUUUAAAACGUCAUAUGUCUUCGCAUAAAAAGAAAUUAAAAUUAACAUCAGUUAAGCAUGAAUCAAGGGAUAGAAAGGUAAUGCAAUGUGAAUUUUGUGAUAGAAAAUUUAAAUAUAAAAAAAGCUUUACACACCAUAUGCAAACAGAACAUGGAAUCUCCGAUGAUAGCGACACCCCUCUAAGUAUUCUUGUAGCGAAAAACGAGAGAAAAUCAUCGACGAGAGGUGGUCUUCGCGAUAAAGAAGAAACUGAAUCGGCUGAUAGCGAUUUGGGUAAUUUAGAUGAAACAGAUAAUUUAGAUCCAAAUCAAGAAGACGGAUCCAUUAAUUCUAAACCGCGUAAAGUUCAUAUGUGUCACGUUUGUAACGCAAAAUUUGUCCGUUCGAAUCAUUUAACGCGUCACAUGACCCUUCAUCGUAAUGUACUCAUUCACAAAUGUGAACGUUGCGACAAAGCGUUUGCCAGUGAAGAAUUUUUAUCAAAACACAUGAAAGAGGACCAUAUUGAUAAACCGUACACUUGCACGGUUUGUAAUAAAACGUAUACGAGAGGUGAACAUCUCAUUAGACAUUUAAAAAUUCAUUUAAAUCCAUUGGAAUUGGAUAUCAAGUGUUCUGUUUGUGAGAGAGUAUUUCAAAGAUCUGAUCACUUAGCAAGGCAUAUCAAAUUACAUUUGCAACAGGAUAAAAGACAUAUUUGUAAUGAGUGUGGAAAAGCUUUUAAUCGAUUGGAUAAUCUUAGGGCUCAUCAAAGGAUUCAUUCUGGGCAAAGAGAUAAUGCCAAAUUGCAUUUAUGUAUAUAUUGUGGAAAAGAAUUUAAUAAUUCAAGUAAUAUGAUAGUACACAUGCGUAGACAUACAGGAGAAAGACCAUACAAAUGCGAUCAAUGUGGUAAAGGUUUUCCAAGAUCGCACGAUUUAAAAUGUCACGAAAGAACUCACUCGGGUGAAAAACCAUAUAAAUGCACUAUGUGUUCAAAAGCAUUCAACAAAAGUAACAAACUGCUUAGACAUACAAGAGUACAUACAGGUGAACGUCCGUAUGUUUGUAAUUUAUGUGGAAGAGCUUUUACACAAUCAAACGAUUUAGCAUUACACAUGCGUAGACACACAGGUUCUCGUCCAUACGCUUGUGGAGUUUGUCCGGCGAGGUUUAUUCAAUCCGGACAAUUAAAAGCGCACAAACGUUCAACAGGACAUUGGAAAGAGAUUCCACCAGAUCUAAAAGGAGGGCAUCGUGUAGAACCUGUUGCACCAGUUGGAGAACCAGCACCAAUUCGAUUUAAAACUCACGGCAAAAAACGUUCCCUUGAAGAAGAAGAAUUAUUAGCGGAAGGGGUUGGUCCAAUGAUUGUUCAUAAUCCUGUCGUAGCUCCAAUUAUAGCUGAAAAUGUAUACGUUCAAAUACAGGAUGGACAACAAAUUGGACAAGAACAACAAAUAACGAUGAGUAAUGUUAGUAUAACGUAUGAAGAUGGUGGAGUUGGGGUAAUUGGUGGUGAUAUGGGAAUGAAAGAGGAAGUACAAAGUUAUAAAGCGGAACCGGGUGUGGCCCCAUUAAAACCAGAAAAUAACGGGACAUUCCAAACGUACGCAAGUGACGUGCAAACGCCUACAACUUACACUAAUAGCUUUACGUACCAAUCAUAUUAAUGAUAAUAAUAAUAUAUUUUUUAAAAAAAUACGAUAUAAUAAAUGUAAAUUUUUAUUCGGAGAAACGAAAUAUUUACGUAUACAGACAAAAUGGUUAAUCUUGCAAGAACUCAUUUUGGAAUUCAGAAAUUUAUUAACGUAGAGAGGGAUAAUUUUGACAAUACUUGGACAAAAAAACCACACCUAAAUAUAUUUAACACAGAAAAAGUUAUUAAUACAGAUAUUAUCAAUUUUUUAUGUUACUUUUAAGGUCCUUUAAACCUAAUUUUUUACUAUAUAUUUUUCCGCUUUGAAUUCAAUACUUAUGUGUGUAUGAUUUUAAAUAUAAAUAAAUUGUUUAAUUUAU
rnacentral:misc_RNA from 1 species